rnacentral:rRNA from 1 species
CGUAACAAGGUCUCCGUUGGUGAACCAGCGGAGGGAUCAUUACCGAGUUUUCAACUCCCAAACCCUUAUGUGAACCUACCUAUCGUUGCUUCGGCGGACUCGCCCCAGCCGGACGCGGACUGGACCAGCGGCCGCCGGGGACCAUCAAACUCUUGUAUUAUCAGCAUCUUCUGAAUACGCCGCAAGGCAAAACAAAUAAAUUAAAACUUUCAACAACGGAUCUCUUGGCUCUGGCAUCGAUGAAGAACGCAGCGAAAUGCGAUAAGUAAUGUGAAUUGCAGAAUCCAGUGAAUCAUCGAAUCUUUGAACGCACAUUGCGCCCGCCAGCAUUCUGGCGGGCAUGCCUGUUCGAGCGUCAUUUCAACCCUCGACCUCCCUUUGGGGAAGUCGGCGUUGGGGACCGGCAGCACACCGCCGGCCCUGAAAUGGAGUGGCGGCCCGUCCGCGGCGACCUCUGCGUAGUAAACCAACUCGCACCGGAACCCCGACGUGGCCACGCCGUAAAACACCCAACUUCUGAACGUUGACCUCGAAUCAGGUAGGACUACCCGCUGAACUUAAGCAUAUCAA